AUGUUUGUAUUUGUGUCGUGAAAGUUGCGCUGUUUCGUUUGUGCUUAUAUGUGCAUGCGUUCGUGUAGUGCAGAUCCCAUUGUGUUUUAUGUUGACGAAAAUGACAAGAUCGAUGGCAUUUUCCACUGACGUGUGAAAAGCAGCUGUUCAACGCGCUCCUUCGUCAGCUUGCUCGACAUCUCAGACUCGGCUAGCACUACUGUGCGAACAGUGAGCAGGGUGAAGAUACUGAUACAUAAUAUCAAGUUGCGAGUGCGCUCUCAAAUGUUUCAGAACAUACCCAGGACGCACAGGACAGAGUAAUUAUAGCUUUUUCGCUGCUUCUAACAGUGCGAUCAAGAAACAUGCUAGCCUGACUAAGGCUGACAAAUUUCCACAUUGUGUGUUCCUCAAAUGAAGCACAAAAUUUUCGACAUCAAUGUAUUUAACUGUACUUACAAUGCCAUUAAUUUCGUUAUCUCCCAACGCUGAUGUUACCGAGGUUUGCUUCUAGGGUAAUUUCGUUUAAUAGGCAGGCUGGUUCGGGCGUAGCCUGUUCUAUUGCCUAAAGAAGUGACUAGUCUGUUGAGCUUCUCUAUACUUAUUUGUUGUCGAUAAAAGUGCGAGAUGGCUGAUGGGUUUCUUCACGUUCACCGUAGAAUUUUCUGGUGAAGAACCGAAGCUUUUAACAUUUGAGGAUACCAGAAAGAAGUUCAUUUCUCCGGGCAGCGGCGACUGGUGCGAAAAAAAUUGCUCUUCGAGGUCCCAUACUUACGUGAAAAGAUGAGUGACGUGGCCUGCUAAUCAGUUUCACCUGAGAAACUGAGCGCUCAUGAAGGACAAAGUAGCAACCUCCUCCAGCUCGCAGUGAGGCAAGGGGAAGAUGAAGUUCUGCGACCUGUUAUGCUGUGAUGCACUGUAAUGUCAAACCGGCUGCUCAAGGACGUGACCCGCAGUAAAGCAGAGCAUCACAUAAAGUCCUGGCUGAGGCACGCCAAAGAACCUCAUGACAGGACGUCGACAAAAGACAAGGGCUCGGGAGUACUACACAGAACAGCGGCGACAGCUGGGCCAAUCCGUGCGAAACUAUUCAGGCCUAACUUUGACUCUAGAUUUCACGAAAAAAAAAAGUGCGUUCUCUGAGAGUGUGGUAGAUACACAUUCCUUUCCUCUGUAUAUUUGGCUGCAGACUGGGGGCUAUGCAGGUGUUGCCUUCAGAAUGAAAAGUGUUAUGCCAUUGUCAUCUCCAUGCAAUACACAUAGACAAUAUUAAUGGGUUUUCCAUGUAUAAUGUUGGACAAAAAAAAUUCAGCUCAUGAAACAGAAGGUGGGAUUAUGUUUAGGUUUAAGUUUAUUCUGUGUAGAGAGCUCGGGAGCAGACCAUAAUUGUGACAAAUAGUUAAUAACUUUUUGGUGAGGGUAAUAAGCUUGAUUGUAAAUAAUAAUAAUACAUAAAGACAACUCGAAUAUUGUUCGAGUUGUCUUUGUGUUCGUAUGUAUUGGAAGGUGACGACAAUAGAGCCCGAUAUAAUUUUGCAACGUAGAAGGCCGCACGUACAGGGCGUUUCACCUAUCGUGAUAAAUUCUAACCGUAGACGUACACGCCGUAUAGGAUUGUGGGAUUUUUAGCAAUUACCCUCUGGCAACUUUUGCCGACACUUAGGAAGGCUUUGGACAAUUUUUAAUUGAUGGAAAUUUAUAUUUUCAAUCAAAUUAGGAAAAUUGCCAAGCACACCCCUAUUUUUUAACAGAAAUAUGAAGUGCCCUCCGGAUGACCGCAGACCCAACAAAACCUAUGCGCAGUAUUAACAGAAAGGGUCGAAAAAAGUAAAAGUGCUGCUUUAGUCCUGCCGACUUGAUUGUUGCAAAAAGCCAGCAGAUAAGUUGCAGGGACGAAGUAUCCCCGCGUCUUGCUUUACCUUUCUUUUCCCUGGUUUGACCUUGAUGCACAAAGAAACGAAAAGAAAUCAAGGUGGGAACAUUUCUUCCUCUUCCUCCACAUUUUGCGCACGCAUUUUUGCAACAAUAAAGCAGGUGGGGCUAUAGCAGCACUUUUGCUAAGACUUUUCCACUAUUUCAGUCACUAUACUGUGCAUAGUUUUCGUUAGGUCUGCGGUUAUUCGUAGGAUCGCAUGGCAAUUUUCAAAGUUUUUCAUUGAAAAGAUCCCUGAAUUAAAAAUUGUCCAAAGCUUUCCAAAAUGGCAGCCAAAGAUUCCAGAAGGUAAUUGCAGAAAGUACCACAAUCCUCCGGCAGGUACGUUGCCGGUUAGAAUCGUUUAUCACUUUAAGUGAAGCGCCCUGUAUGUAUACGUUCAUAAAAAAAAAAAAAAAAGAAACACCAGGAAUUUUCCUUGCAUAUGUGACCCCUCGGAGACUGCACUUGUUUCAAGCUAACUCCAAAGAGGCCAAAUUACACCUCUGCUUAUUUUCUGCAACCUGAUUACUAGUCAUGAUGGUGCGUUUAUUUCGUUCAUGAGCAUGUUGUGUAAUCCGGAAAUGCUCAGAAUGUUUGAAAUUCCAUGCUAUAUUUUACAGCUGCCAUUGCAGCUCUUGUAGCGUUAUCUUGAACACCCAAACUGGGCCCCUUACAUUUCAUCUUUGCUGAGGCCAACUGUAGACUACAGAAGAAUGAAGUGUGAAGUGCCGUAUAGAUGACGUUAUUCAUUUUAUUCAUCUAUGUAUUUUGUAAAGACUGUACUUGGCUCGCAUUGUCAUAUCGGACUCCUGAUACAUGUUUCUUGUUCGCAUUGUUUGUUACGAGACCACGCUGUCCAGAAGGGAGUAAAUAAGGUUCUCUUUGAAGUGAUUGGAAUUUUUGUGCAUAUUAUUGUAGCCAAAUAAUGUUCAUCGGCUCAGUUAGAGACGACUCAAAUAUCUGUAUCGGGGAUUGUGGAAAAUGGUUUUGCUCAGAUGACAAUGGUGGAAGGCACUUUUGAAGGCUCGUAGUACAACUUACCUCGACUGAAAUGACGAAUUUCUACAUGAAUCUGAUGUGUACUGCACGGAAGUGGGUUUGUGGUGUUUGCUCAUUUUUGCUAGGAGGUGCUUCGAACCAAUUAUGUGAUGACGGCGUUUGCUAGGUGCUACAGCGCAUUAAUGCGAUGACAUUAUUUACUCAUUUAUGCUGAAUGGUGCUUCAGCCCAUUGAUGUAGUGACGUUAAAUAACAGCACCAAGGUGAUGAUCAUUUAGGUCCAUAUGUCGUGUGUACAUUUACAGAGCCUUUUCUAGAUAGAGGGAUGCCAUUGUCGGUCCAAAUAAGCCUAUCGACUAUUUGUUUAGCGUUAUGAAUAUUUCUAACUGCUGGCGCAAGAAUCGUUCAGCUUUUCCCUGUAUACAAGGCAAAGUGUGGUCUGACCCUGUAUGCCAUCCAGCCACCAUCAAUUCCAAAGCACCCCUUGUGGGCUUAAUGACUGAGAACACAGUUUCUGCUCGUCACUGCUAAAUGCAGACUACAAAUUGAUUUCACCUCUCAGCAGCUUCAGAUGUUGAUGUGAUGUAAUUUCUAGAGCUUUUAUGCGUUCAUGCAUUGAGCACUUAUCUGCUUUGUUAUCAUCCAAGUCAAAUGUCAUUUUCUUUUUAUGCAUAUUGUGUAAUAUUUAACAUUGUGUAGCUAUACAUCACUUGAAGUUCCUUGAAAUAAAGAAGCCAUGAAAGCU